AGUGAACGCUGGCGGUAGGCCUAACACAUGCAAGUCGAACGGCAGCACAGUAAGAGCUUGCUCUUACGGGUGGCGAGUGGCGGACGGGUGAGGAAUACAUCGGAAUCUACUUUUUCGUGGGGGAUAACGUAGGGAAACUUACGCUAAUACCGCAUACGACCUACGGGUGAAAGCAGGGGAUCUUCGGACCUUGCGCGAUUGAAUGAGCCGAUGUCGGAUUAGCUAGUUGGCGGGGUAAAGGCCCACCAAGGCGACGAUCCGUAGCUGGUCUGAGAGGAUGAUCAGCCACACUGGAACGGAGACACGGUCCAGACUCCUACGGGAGGCAGCAGUGGGGAAUAUUGGACAAUGGGCGCAAGCCUGAUCCAGCCAUACCGCGUGGGUGAAGAAGACCUUCGGGUUGUAAAGCCCUUUUGUUGGGAAAGAAAAGCAGCAGGUUAAUACCCCGCUGUUCUGACGGUACCCAAAGAAUAAGCACCGGCUAACUUCGUG
rnacentral:rRNA from 1 species